AGUUCUAAAUCCAUUUCUGCACGCAUUAGAUAAAAUAAAUGAAUUAAGACUGACAAAAAUGUUGAGUUUUAAAUAAACAAUUUCUCUUUACACAUAUAUUGUAAUGACAUAGAGACUAUAUCUUCGACUACAACACCCUCGUACCACACGAGUGAUCUCUUUGUGAUUGUCUUGAGUAAAAACGUUGUAUAAUGCUCUUUCCCAUAGGUCCAGGGACAAAUGUAAAGCUCAUUGACCUAGACACAUUUUGUCAAGGGCACCUCCAUGAACAACUUAAAUGAUCCCCCUAGAUGGAACAUGGGGCCAGACCCACGAGGAGGUGCUGCUGCUGACGGGAACAAAUGGAAUUAUGCCCUCCUGGUGCCAAUGCUGGGGCUGGCUGCCUUUCGCUGGAUCUGGACCAGAGAGUCUCAGACAGAGAUCAUAAAGGUCAAGGCCCGGUACGACCAGGACAUGUCUGCCGUGACCUCCAACCUUGAGAUGAAGUACAGAGACACCCUGACGGAGAACCGGCGGGCGGCGGCCAUCUUAGAGCUGGAGCUGGAGAAGGAGAGGCAGAGGGUCCAGGGGUACCGCCAGGCCCUCAUCUCACAGAGCCAGCAGGUCAUGGAGGAACGCAAAACAGCUACAGUUGGAACGAGAGGCUCUGGAGCAAGAGAAGAUGAAGCUUUUAGAAUCCGGCGCCGCUGGGGCCAUCCUCCAACACGCUCUGGCCAGAGAGAGCGACUGGCACCAGAGGGCCUCAGCUAUGCUGAAGGAUCUGGAGGAGGACCUUGUAGAGAGACAGGGGGCCUACUGCAACCUGCUCCUCCCCAGGGAACAUAGGCUGGAGAUGGAGAAGAACCUGCUCCUCAAGGUGGUGAAGGAACCGUUGGGAACGGAUACAGAUCUGGAGGGAGACCUGAAGGAUAUCUUUAAGAACGACCGCUACUGUGCCAAAGGCAACAAUCGCCUCCUCAACGUGAAGAAAAUGGACAAGAGGAAGAAUGGUAGCUUGAUGUGGCUCUACCUCAGAUACUGGCAGCUGCAGGUUACCAUGGAGGCGCAUAAACGGGCAGAGGACUCAAUACUGGGAGUUACACCAGAUAACAACCUCAAGUGACCUUGAUAGGGUUGACAUUGAGUAUAUAGUAAUAGUCUUCUUGACUGCACAAAUGUUUUAUUUUUCACUAAUGGUGAAUUAGUUCAUAUUUCAUUUCCUCUACAUCAUUUUAUAACUCCUGACAAAUGUAAACGCUUACUUUCUUACUAGUGAAACACAGUAAAUGCCAAUGGAAUUGUCAUUGAAUGUCAGGGAUAUUUUCACAACUAUAGUUUUGUCUUUGCACUCCAAACCCAAUGUUGGAUGAUAUGAUACAGUAUCAUGAAUUCUAGAGGAAUAUUUCCUUUUGAUAAAAUCAUGUAUAUCCACAUUGGACAUCACAGCUAUUUGGUCAGUCAUGUAGAAGAAAAUAGUGAUAUACUUUAUUUUGACAGAAUAUACAAUGUUAUAACAGACUGUGGUUGUGUCAUACAAUAAUGUAAUGACGUGUAAUAUACUGACAUCUCUGACUGGA